rfam:Spirochaetes bacterium RBG_16_67_19 RBG_16_scaffold_15618, whole genome shotgun sequence.
GCCGGAGUGGUGGAACUGGCAGACACAGAGGACUUAAAAUCCUCUGGCCCGCAAGGGCCGUAGCGGUUCGACCCCGCUCUCCGGCA